AUCUCACUCACCAUCAGAACACAGAACACAGAAACAGAAAGAAGCAAACAAUGGCUCUCAGAAGCAACACAGAUUCCACAAAUAUCUAUAUGUACAUUUGAGCAUUUACCUUUUAGAAGAGUCCCUUUGAAGGUCCCCUGUAGAGCCAAUUUGGCUUGGAUUUCAUGGCAGUGGUAAGAAUAGAAAUAGACAAGGGACUGUCAUAGUUGAAUAUGCUGCCCAGUGAAAGUGACAGAUCAUGGCCUGAGAUAAGAGCUGUAUAAACCAAACCAAGCACAAGAAUCUCAGAGCACAACAGUUGAGAGCUUUUAAUCUGGGAACACAUCUACAUAACCCCAAUAAGUUGUGAAGACCCUGUUUUCUCACAUCAGAUUUUUAACAGACUCUUUUUUGCAAGGCUGGACUGGAAAGGCAGGUAGGCAAGCUAUUCAAAAUGCACUGGGCACUGUGCAUACUACUGCACCAUCUGUUGGGGGAAAAUGAAGAGGAACAGAUACAUUGCCCUACACCUUGAUAAGCACCUGCAACACGUGCAUGUGCGGGCUGCUGGAGGAGUGCACUGGAGGAGCUUUCAUUCUUACCACUGUGUGGGUGGGCGAGGAAGAACAGGUGUGAGCAUUUGCCAACAGAGGCACCCAUAGAGCCCCCAGGUGUUCAUGCUCCUGCUUAAUGUCAGGGCCAAGGAGAGGCCUUUUGGGAUUUUCUUUUGCCUAACAUCUUGGAAAAGAAUCUUCAUCUUCAAAGUAGAGAUCCUAAUAUCUGCCCUGACUACAUCUCAAAGUUUUUAACAAGAUCCAGCGAGAUCCAGCAUAUGCUACUAUGAAAACUGAAAAAUGCUCAACCAACACCAGGCAAGACAUCAAUUUAUAUACAUCUUCCCUUGCAUAUAAGCUUUUAUGCAUAUUUUUUACUUAAGAAUUUUUUUUAUUAAACUAAAUAUUGUUUCUAGCAAGAAAAGCCUUUCAAGUAAGGUUGAUAUUAUUAUUCCUUACAAGUUUCAUCUUGAUUCAUAAACAUUUUAUGCCAAGAAUAAUGCUGUUUUAAAGACAAUAAGUGCCUGGUUUUGCCUGGGGCCACUGGAAGCCCUGCAAAAGAGGCAGGAGGAAUUAAAGGCCCUUAAUCAUAUUUCCCCAUUUUUAACUGUUAGUUUUUACACUCUUGAGCCAUUUCUCUCCUCUUGCUGGGCCCUACCGAGGCCCAUAAAUCUUAAUUAAAGAUGCAAUUUUUUUUCUUAUGAAAUCUGAACUGCAAGAAACCAUUCUUAUUUUUUAUUUUUAAGACUAGCUCCAUGUGUCGGCUCAUAAAACAAGUAAGACUUUUGCACUCAAAGGAUUUUGAAAGCUGUUAUUGCUGCUGUCAUGUGGCACUGGUCCCGUAAUUACUAUUAUUGUUAUUUUAUUUUAUUUUUUUACACAUGAGCUUCUGCUUUUCUUGCAUAGAGCAUGAUGUAAAAAAAUAACUUACAACAGGCUGCUUUUGUUUUAGGAAGCAGGGGUUAUGGUUCAUAAAACAGGAAAGAAACAUGAAUCCACAUUUCCAAUGAGGAAAAGAACUCUCUCUGAAUGCUACUGGGUAUAGAUACUUCCUGGUGGGGUUCCCAUCAAGGAACCAUUAUUUAAAGGGAAUAUUCUCUUGAUCAGAAUCUGAUAGGUAAGAUAAACAGGAUAUCUGCAACUGCAUUUCUUAUUCCCUUAGAUUAGGGAAAUGGGCUUAACAUCUUUAGACAUCUAGAACUAAUAUACUGAUGAUGGACCCCAAAGGAGUUUAAUCACAGAUAGCAGAGGUAGUCUGAAAAGACCUAAAUCUACUUUAGAUGAUGACAUUUCUAAAGAAUAAAAAUGAUUCUGAUAACAUCAUAAAAACACCUAAUGAGGCAUGAGGCAGUGCCAGGCACUAUGACCAGAGAUCAGACUAAUUAUCUAUCAACUUGUCUGUCUUCUGCCAUUCCUUCAGAACAUCAAUGGUAUCCCCUUGUCCACAAGAUUACAUUAAAGCUUUCAAGACCACUAACGUGGCCUCAACUUAUCUUUUGAACCACAUCUCGAACUGUCAUACCUCACUAACAGUACUUCUAUUUAUACAGAGAAAGCAAAGACAGUACUUUUCAAGACCUAUUCUUCUGUGACUCUGUGGCUUUGCAUGUGUUGAGAAGUAUGGUGGGAAAGGAGAAAAUGCACAAUGGAUAGGGUAGAUUUUGAAAUUAGGAGGUUUUAAACUUGAGGGCCAAGUGAACUAUAGUAAACUAUAGGCAAAUUGCUUAGCCUCUCUGAGACUCUUUUUCCUCAUCUGUAAAAUGGAGGUAAUAAUUACUUUCUGGUGGUGGUGUGCAGUUUAUAGGAGAGGCAUACUAUGCACCUAGCACAGUAUCUGUACCCAAAGAAGUGCUUCACCAAAUAGAUGCUUUCUGUACUUCCUUAUGCUUGGAGUUCAAUGGCCCUAUGAGUUUCUACUCAUCUCCUAAGACUGCCAAAUUAUACCCCAUUUACAAAGCCUUUUAUAAGAUCCCCCAGGCACAUUUGGGUGAAUUGGGAUGAAUAAUCUGGCAAUGAAUGCAAGAUUUUUGGGAGGAAGGAGGGACCUAGAAUAAGCAGGCCAGCCAAAAUCUUUCACUUCUUGUUGCCAAAGUACAUUUUUUUUCCACAGAAGGGGCUUCCUGGCCGCUUGCCUGGUUGUGUCUCCUCAGGCAACUCAAAUUUCUUUGAAGAUUUGCUCACCUUCAUCUCUUUCUCCCACACUCCUCACCCUACUCCCUCUACCAAAUCUAUCCAUCUCAUCUAAGCUUCCUUUCCAUGCUUUAAUCGACUGUUUGGCAAGUCUUUCAACCUCUGGUUCACACUUUGACAAAUUAACCCUUGUACCACCUUAGAUUUCCCAUGCCAUUUUUGUUUCUUUAUUGGAUUUUGUGUGAUUUUGUUCUUUGACAUUAUUGGGCCAAAGACCACAAGGCUCCUUUGCAUCAUAGACUCAUAAGAUUGUAAAGAUCAGUCUACUACAUCUUCAUCAUCUUUAUUCUGUACAUGAAGAAUAGGAAUCUCAGAAAGACUUUAUUGAGUCAAUGCCUAGAUGUGAUUAAGCUUCUGACCCACCCAUGUCUCCCUCAUCCUGUCCAGUGUUCAUCUGCCGUACCACACUGACUCCUCUGAUCAUAUGGCACCUUGAAAUCUCACAGAUAUCCAGCUGGGAAUUAGAAUGAGAAAAUAAUGUGCUAUAGCUGUGUGGGGUCCAGCCCAAAGCCAAAGGAUUCCUUUCAUAUAAUGAUAAGCCACAGGGUCUUUUAAUCAAACAAGUAAAGUGAUGUAUGCCAAGGGCACCCAUAACUAGGUGGAUGGAAGGAGGUGAAUAUUUUGAGAUAUGUUGCCCUUGGAGAGAUCUGCAGAUGUAGCAAGUUGUCUUAUGGAGUUGGGGCAGGACAGAAUUCAGAGAAAUACUGGAACUUCCUAGCAGACUGUCUCACCUCACUGAAUUUACUACCCAACAUGGUUUCUCAACUUUACAUCUUUGGAGUUACAGAUGAAUACUGAUUGUGGUUUUUUUUUGAGAUUAAUCUUCAAAGGGGCUAUGACAGUGUGACUGGGGCUUCCUGGAAAUAAUAAAAGGAGGAGAAAAGAAUAAAUAUUUAUUAAGCACUUAUACAAGUCCUGGUAAUUUCACAUACCUUAAUGAAGUUGCAAGAAAUUUUCCUAUUGUAUAGAUGAGGAAACUGAGAUUUAGGAGUGGUGGCUUAUUUGACCAGGUUACUCAGGAAGUUGAAGCCAGACUCAAAUUUUAACUCAUUUGACUUAAAGAAGACGAGGAGUGUAAAGACCUCUACUGAAAUUCUGUAGAACUGAUUUCUAGACUCCAAGUUUCUGUUUAUGCUGAUUUCACCAAGCCUUGUGACUCCUGCCUGUUGUUCUUUUCUUUCAUUUUAAAACCUGGUGUUAAUCCUGUUUUACUUUCUUAUAGGGAUAUUGGAAAGUCCAGGCAAAACAAUGGAUUUGACAGCCUUUGAAAAUUACGAAGUGUUGUGCAAAUACAAGUCAUUAGUAUCAUUGCAUUACAAAGUAAAUAUUGAGUAGAGGAAGAAAACCUAAGGAGUGUACAAAUUUCUACAUUGUUUUCCAAAUUAUUAUGGAAGCAAACCAAAACCCAGAAGGUCUCUUGCAAAGUAUUCUAUUCCUCUAGAUUCCUUUAAUCUAUGCAGAUUAAGUACAUACCCCAAUGCCAUUAACUGUUUCAACUAUGAAUUAGAAGGACAUUGCUAAAUCCAAAGCUCUAUUACUUAUCUUAGUAUUCAAAAUAAUCUGACCUCUUAAUAUUCUAUACUUAAUGAUUUGUGUGAGUUGAAUGAAAUUCUAACAUUUUUCUGAUAAUUGCUUUAUGUAUAUUUUUAUAUUACAUUAAUAGUGACUGACAUCAAAUCUUUUCUUUCAGACAUUGAAAAAUAAAACUAACAGCAUCAGUAGUGUCAAUCUGGCAACUGAUCAUUUAUGAGUUAAAAUCCCAUAAUGUUGUAGAUAAAGGUAAUAAUUUUCUGUUCAUGAAGAUGGAAAUAAACAACACACUCAACAACAAAUAAACUUGGGAGAAAAACUUUCCAUUCUAAAAAAAAUUUUUAACGUUUAUUUAUUUUUUGAGAGACAGAGCAUGAGCUGGGAAAGGAACAGAGAGAGAAGGGAAGUCACAGAUUCUGAAGCAGGCUCCAGGCUCUGAGCUGUCAGCACA